AGUUGAAUAAAGAACCUCAUAAAGAGCAGAAGCUCUUCUCUUGUUAUUUAAAGUGUACUUUAGCAAAAUACUAAUAUCUCCUAAAUAUCAAACAUUACACAAGGAAAGUACUCUUCUGGCUGCAAUGGACCCGCAAAACUUUUAGUCCUUUCUAAUGUACCGAGCUUGAGAAAUUAUGGAGACCACGAGCGCUAAUCAAUGGCGCUGGGUUCCGACGAAGCUAAACGUAGCAGACUUGGCAACAAAGUUCAUUUCUAAACCCUAAGCGUCGCCUAAUGUAUUAAUGGUCCGCUGUUUCUUCGAUAACCAGACAAGCACACUGGACGCACCGUUUCGGAUAGCGAGCGAAACGAGAUUCGAAAAACGAACUUGGUGAGCCACCGCUACGUUUCUCCUAUACGUAGCCAGCCACCCUUCGAACUAGAUGCAAACUUGAAAAAAUUGUGAAGACUGUAACCUUUGAACAAAUUAAGUACGCUAAGGGUAUACAGUUCAGAGAAGCUCAACGAGAUACCGUAUAUAAAUCGGUCCGAAAAUGUUGUCAGAGAUGUAAAAACAAUUCCGCCAAAAUGUCACCAUUGCCACCUGCCAGGGUCGCCAUGAAGCCAUUUACCUACACCGGGGUAGAUUUUUUGGAUAUAUCCUCGUGACCGUGGGAAAAACGUUCAAUUAGAAAUAUACUACAGCUUGGAUACCAGCUCUUGUGCGAUGUGUCUUACUAACUUAAUGUCUCGACGAGCAACACCGAAGAAAAUAUUCUCAGAUAAUGGCACAAAUUUCAACGGAGAAGGUGGGGAAGGAAGAACUAAAAAGGUGGACUUUGGAAAACUUCUUGUUAAAUAUGACCAGAUUAAGUUGCCCAAGAGAGAGUUGUAAUGCGAUAUCAACGGAAUGAUUUUUUAAAGCUCUUAAAAAUGUUCUAAAUCUAGUUUUCGACCUUGUUGCGAAUUUUUAAUCUAAAUGUUUCUUGAAGAUCAACGAUCAGAACAUGAAGAACGUAAUCGUCCGCUAUUAUAUAUUACAGUCGCCUUGCAUUUUAACAAUGUCAAUAUGUCAAGAGUAAGAUGGAACUUACAGCAAACUGGCGCAAAUUAGGGGCAACAGUCCGUUACUCACCUAUAUCCGCGCUCAAAUACAACUAUAUUUGCAAUCUUGUAUGGUAAACAAACGUAAUUUGCAAUUUUCAUUGCACCUUGUUUAAAAAUUGUCAAAAUUUUGUAGUCCUGAAAACGCUCUCUGUAGCUAAAGUGAUUUAAUAAAUUUUUAAAUAAAUGUGUAUGAUUUGCACUGAGAAUUGUUUAUGCAG
rnacentral:lncRNA from 1 species